CUGGUGGAUGAGAGACCAUGUGGAGAAGCCCACCAGCUGACCAUAGACUCAGGCCAGCAGAGAACCACCCAGCUGAGCCAAGCCCAAAUUGCUAACCCAUGGAAUUGAACGCUUUGGACAGUGCCUGCCACAGAGGGGGUACCUGCUAAGUGCUGGUCUUCUCCUGCUCCUGUGUCAAACGUGAAAGAAAGAAGUUCCAUUAGGAGCACCUCCUAUGCCCCGACGGCCUGGGGGAUACAGACGUAAACAGUACGGUCUACAUCUUCAAGAAACAUGAGAUCCAUGAGGAGACACAGAGACCAUGGACGAAUGAAUAAAUGAACCAAUGAAUGAGUGAAAUCUUCUUGGGUAAAUGCCCCCAAGGGCUAGCCUUUCGCCCCAGCAUAGCACUGGGGCCCAGCACACAGGCUCUGGGGUAGGACAGCCC